GUACCCUGGAGAGAACGUCCACCCACUGCUCAAAGCAGAAACUGCGUCCUCCAGCGCAGGUGGAGCCCCAUUGGUACAAGUUGUCCAAGCUCAGCUCUGCAGCCUGCUUCUAUUGAGAUUUCCCUCAAACAAAAAUAAAGAUGGAAAGAGCUGCCGAGAACAUACAGUCAGGGGCUGCUCUCAUUGGCCACUCUCGGGCCAUGUCUUCCUCCAGCUCCUCUUAAUGCCCCGAGGGCCCGUGCUGAGCCUCAGGAUGACCGAUCAAACUGUGACAGGGAAAAAUGUGAGAUUCAGACCUGCUUCUCCUUGGCCAGAGGGAAGGAAGGGAGCGAGGAGCAGCGUGAGGGGAGUGAGGCGCAGCAUGAAGGGAGCGAGGCGCAGAGUGAAGGGGACUUACUACAUCUCAGAAGUCCUGUCAGACCCUGUGAGUGAAGCUGGCUUACCCAGCUGCAGCCCCAUACUCCAAGUUGCUCCGUCAUAGCUGAAUCACCGGUCUAUCUGAGGUCUCUGCAGACCAUGACCACCAGUGCACUUGGCUGCCUCCUACUCUCCUGGCACCACCGAGUGACAGGCACCUUGUUGCCUCCUGACUCUUCAGAGCAUUCUGUAUGUCAUCCAUCCACCUUGCCAUGAAUUGAGAAGCCUUCUGAGCAUCUGAGUAGCAGGAAGUCACUUGAAUCAUCGGAUAAGGCUUUGCUAAAUCACUCUGGCAGUGCGCCCCAGACUUGGGGCAAAGGGAUUAUGGGGUGUUUGUUAGUGACCUCCUGGGGGGUUGACUGGCUGUUCUUUCCUGGACCUGCUGACUCAAAAGGGUAGCAUUUUGACAUUCUGGUAACUACAGUACUACACAGUUCUGAAGGGGCAGAAGGAGAUAACCUGUAGAAAACCAUUAAGACAAAUAAAUUUUAUCUGUGGGGAUACAAUUGAUUUCUAUCCCGUGGAAAAGAUAGCCCCAUAAAAUAUAGUCUGUCAUCUUAUAGGAUACUAUUUUUCAUCUACUUGUGAAUUCAUUUCAGCAUUUCUGCCUAUAUAUGUUACAAACUCCUCUUUGAAUGGGCCAUAACCUU